UGAAACAGGAGAGAAUAUGUCCAUAUUCAGCGUUGAUGGCAAAUUCAAAUACCAAGAUAUCAUCGAAUC
rnacentral:sRNA from 1 species